AGCACUAUUGAAGAGAGCAAGUCAGGGGAGACAUUCCAGCUCAAUUCCAGCUCGGUUUCAUCAUGCUUACAACUACCAGUCAUUCUGAGAGGAGAUAGAAUCUCAUUGUGGCUUGUAUUUGCAUUUCUCUGGGCUAAAGAUGAAAUGAAAACAUAGACGUCGUCAUCAUGAAUAGUCCUCCUGAUCCUGAUUGUCACCGAAAAUAAUUCCCAAGACAGCUGAAGAGGCCUUCGGGUUCAGGCUCCGCCCAUCCAUCCAUCUGCCCCACCCUUCAUUCUUGCUUCGUUCCAAAGAAGAGAAGGAAGAAGAGAGAAGGGAUUGAGCAGAGGCCUGGGCACGCAUGGGUCCCCUCUGGCAGUGGGCAGAGUCACAGGGCGGAAGCAAGUUGUCUUUCUUCCUGCCCAGCUUCAAAUGCAGCCGGAGAGAGGAGCUAGCUGGGAACUUGAACAUCUGCAGAAAGCCUGGAUACUUCCUUCUGUCUUUCUUCUCCCCUGUGGCAGUCAGGGCAGGGCUUCCUCUUUGCCUGUGCCUGAGCUUCUGGAUGGGGUCAGAGGCUGAGGACUGAAGGCUGCCCAGUGGUGGUGGUGACAAAGUCAGCACUUCCCUUUGUUAGCCUUUGGAUGCUGUGACAAAGCCCCAGAGACCUGACUUGGAGGAGCAAGGUCAAGGUUGGCUAGAUCCGUUGCUUUUAGGUAUGGGAUGAUGCUAAACAUCAGGACACCUGGACCAUCUGGUAGAGGAUGCUGCUGCCGUUGUGGUAGCUAGGAAACAGGAAGACAGAAGGAAGACAGGAGGCAAGAGCAUGCUCUCUGUGAUCGUCUUCUCCAAGCAGUCUGCAUCUCUGAGCUCCUAACACCUCCCCCUAGUGCUGUUGAAUGAUGGGUAUAUCCAUGCAACCACUGAUUAGGUCAGGGCCUCCAUGGCUUGCUCAUCUCUCAACAGUGUCACCAGCUAGGGUCUGCUCCUUCAAUACUGGGACCUUUCAGAGAGCAUACAUAGUGACCAUCUUAAUACCACCAAAACUUUGCUCUCAUUCCUUCUUGUCUCCAGAGUGCUUGAACCAAAGAGGCAUCAAGGAGUCAUUUCCUGUUACAUAGAAGGGCAUCAUAUUUCCUCAGGAUUUUUCUUUACCCUCAGCUAGUUUUGUAGGCAAAGAUAAUAGCCCUCUGUUUCAUUGAGUGCUUCGAUUUCUUUUUAUAUCAUAAGUAGGUUGCUGACACACUAUGUGUUGACUAAUCAUAUCUUUUCUUUUGUGAAUUACAUUCAUGGCUUUAGCUCACUUUGGAGUUUUAAGUUAGAUUUUAAUGUCUUCAAUAAAAAAUAUACUCAUCUGC